rnacentral:rRNA from 1 species
GACGAACGCUGGCGGCGUGCUUAACACAUGCAAGUCGAACGGAAAGGCCCUGCUUUUGUGGGGUGCUCGAGUGGCGAACGGGUGAGUAACACGUGAGUAACCUGCCCUUGACUUUGGGAUAACUUCAGGAAACUGGGGCUAAUACCGGAUAGGAGCUCCUGCUGCAUGGUGGGGGUUGGAAAGUUUCGGCGGUUGGGGAUGGACUCGCGGCUUAUCAGCUUGUUGGUGGGGUAGUGGCUUACCAAGGCUUUGACGGGUAGCCGGCCUGAGAGGGUGACCGGCCACAUUGGGACUGAGAUACGGCCCAGACUCCUACGGGAGGCAGCAGUGGGGAAUAUUGCACAAUGGGCGGAAGCCUGAUGCAGCAACGCCGCGUGCGGGAUGACGGCCUUCGGGUUGUAAACCGCUUUCGCCUGUGACGAAGCGUGAGUGACGGUAAUGGGUAAAGAAGCACCGGCUAACUACGUGCCAGCAGCCGCGGUGAUACGUAGGGUGCGGGCGUUGUCCGGAUUUAUUGGGCGUAAAGGGCUCGUAGGUGGUUGAUCGCGUCGGAAGUGUAAUCUUGGGGCUUAACCCUGAGCGUGCUUUCGAUACGGGUUGACUUGAGGAAGGUAGGGGAGAAUGGAAUUCCUGGUGGAGCGGUGGAAUGCGCAGAUAUCAGGAGGAACACCAGUGGCGAAGGCGGUUCUCUGGGCCUUUCCUGACGCUGAGGAGCGAAAGCGUGGGGAGCGAACAGGCUUAGAUACCCUGGUAGUCCACGCUGUAAACGGUGGGUACUAGGUGUGGGGUCCAUUCCACGGGUUCCGUGCCGUAGCUAACGCUUUAAGUACCCCGCCUGGGAAGUACGGCCGCAAGGCUAAAACUCAAAGGAAUUGACGGGGCCCCGCACAAGCGGCGGAGCAUGCGGAUUAAUUCGAUGCAACGCGUAGAACCUUACCUGGGUUUGACAUGGAUCGGGAGUGCUCAGAGAUGGGUGUGCCUCUUUUGGGGUCGGUUCACAGGUGGUGCAUGCCUGUCGUCAGCUCGUGUCGUGAGAUGUUGGGUUAAGUCCCGCAACGAGCGCAACCCUUGUUCACUGUUGCCAGCACGUUAUGGUGGGGACUCAGUGGAGACCGCCGGGGUCAACUCGGAGGAAGGUGGGGAUGACGUCAAGUCAUCAUGCCCCUUAUGUCCAGGGCUUCACGCAUGCUACAAUGGCUGGUACAGAGAGUGGCGAGCCUGUGAGGGUGAGCGAAUCUCGGAAAGCCGGUCUCAGUUCGGAUUGGGGUCUGCAACUCGACCUCAUGAAGUCGGAGUCGCUAGUAAUCGCAGAUCAGCAACGCUGCGGUGAAUACGUUCCCGGGGCU